CUGGCUACGGAUUUUGAUUGACAUUUGGAGUGUCUGGACUUUCUAUCAUGAUCUGUUGGGUAUUAAUCAACUCUUGAAUGGCUCUUUUCAGAUACCAACAUUUCUCUGUGUUAUGCCUUGGGGCAUCAGAACAGUAUUCACAUCUUCUAGAAUAGUUCAAGUUCUUCGGAGGAGGAUUUGGGAUCCUUCUCUCAAUUGGGUUUAGAACAUUCAUUUUCCUCAGCC
rnacentral:lncRNA from 1 species